rnacentral:rRNA from 1 species
GUCUACAACCAUGCUACCCUGAACAAACCUGAUCCCCUCUGAUCUCGGAAGCUAAGCAGGGUCAGGCCUGGUUAGUACUUGGAUGGGAGACUACCUAGGAAGACCAGGUGCUGUAAGCG